rnacentral:lncRNA from 1 species
AGCUAUUCCACUAAAUAUAGGAAAAAAAAUCGAAAGUCCAAAACACUUCUUGUUCCAAGUCUUUUUGAUAAGGGAUCCUUAACCUGUACUCACCUAACUGUGGAAUGGACUUGAUGCCUCUUGGUGACAUUGUGAGGUCUGGAAAGGGACUCUCGAGAUGGCCUCCACGGGUCACCUCAGAAGGAUGGCCAGGUGGUCCACACUCACUAUGCCACAGAGGCCCCUGGGCUUCUGAGAAAGGCAGGAAGGCCAGUUUGGAACUCACACAACCCACAUCAUCGACGAUGACUUGGCCUAGUGCUUGGCACUGGCUCCCUGACAGUUAAAAGGCACAGGCCAGGCGAACCCAAGUGGCAGCACUGAGGAACAAGGAAAAGGAGGGAGAAUGAGAGAUUCUUAUCUACCCAUGCCUCACCCUAGCCCCUGCCAUUCCCCUCCUCCCCCAAGGGACUUCUGGCUUCAGCCCAUACCAGCUCCAGGCUGGAGGGGCUCUGCUGCCCAGGGCCGCCUCCACUUCUGUCCACCUCUUCCUCCUGCUGAAUGUGUGAGGAAGCAUCCCACCCUAAGAGGGGAAAAGCCUGGACCAGCAGAGAUCCAUGCUGCUGCCUUGUGGGAGGCAAAGGCAGGAAGACGGAGAAAGAACAUUUUCCAGUUUUGACCUGAGACAAUCCUAUCUUUAUGGAGAACAGCUUGGUGUUUUUCCACCCAGACUGAGUAGUGUUGGGAGUCACCAGGUAGAAGGUUUCCUUGACCGUAAAUAGUAGUGUUCUUUGAUGGAAUGAAUGAUGGUCUUUUGGAUGUAGAUAUGGAUGCUUCAGAAAGGUUUUCAAGUCCUGUGGAAGACUGACCCUCCACCCCUACAUCUUUGUGAGGAAUUAUUCUGAUUCUAGGGAACCUUGAUUGGGUAAAACUG